rnacentral:rRNA from 1 species
AGUCUAUUCAGAGGAACCUGUCCUAUAAUCGAUGAUCCACGUUUAAAUUUACUUAUUUUUUAAGUUUAUAUAUCAUCGUAGAUUAAAUAUUUUUUAAGGAUUAAUCAAUAUUUAAGAUUCUUAGUAGAAGGAAUUCAGAUCAAGGUGUAGCUUAUAAAUAAGAAGAGAUGGGUUACAAUAAAAUUAUUUAUACGGUUAAUUUAUUGUAAAUAUUUUAUAAGACGGAUUUGAGGGUAAUAUUAAAAAUAUUUUUAAUAUGAUUUUAGCUCUAAAAUAUGUACAUAUCGCCCGUCACUUUCACCCCAAGGUGGAAUAAGUCGUAACAUAGUAGGUGUACCGGAAGGUGUCCCUAGAUUA